rnacentral:rRNA from 1 species
AGAGUUUGAUCAUGGCUCAGAUUGAACGCUGGCGGCAGGCUUAACACAUGCAAGUCGAACGGUAACAGGGAGGAGCUUGCUUCUUUGCUGACGAGUGGCGGACGGGUGAGUAAUACUUGGGAAUCUGGCUUAUGGAGGGGGAUAACUACGGGAAACUGUAGCUAAUACCGCGUAAUAUCUUCGGAUUAAAGGGUGGGACUUUCGGGCCACCUGCCAUAAGAUGAGCCCAAGUGGGAUUAGGUAGUUGGUGGGGUAAAGGCCUACCAAGCCGACGAUCUCUAGCUGGUCUGAGAGGAUGACCAGCCACACUGGAACUGAGACACGGUCCAGACUCCUACGGGAGGCAGCAGUGGGGAAUAUUGCACAAUGGGGGGAACCCUGAUGCAGCCAUGCCGCGUGAAUGAAGAAGGCCUUCGGGUUGUAAAGUUCUUUCGGUGAUGAGGAAGGUGUUUGUUUUAAUAGAACAAGCAAUUGACGUUAGUCACAGAAGAAGCACCGGCUAACUCCGUGCCAGCAGCCGCGGUAAUACGGAGGGUGCGAGCGUUAAUCGGAAUGACUGGGCGUAAAGGGCACGCAGGCGGUGACUUAAGUGAGAUGUGAAAGCCCCGAGCUUAACUUGGGAAUUGCAUUUCAUACUGGGUCGCUAGAGUAUUUUAGGGAGGGGUAGAAUUCCACGUGUAGCGGUGAAAUGCGUAGAGAUGUGGAGGAAUACCGGAGGCGAAGGCAGCCCCUUGGGAAUAUACUGACGCUCAUGUGCGAAAGCGUGGGGAGCAAACAGGAUUAGAUACCCUGGUAGUCCACGCUGUAAACGCUGUCGAUUUGGGGAUUGGGUUUAGAGCUUGGUGCCCGUAGCU